CCGCUCAGGACGAACGCUGGCGGCGUGCCCUAUACAUGCAAGUCGAGCGGACAGAAGGGAGCUUGCUCCCGGAUGUUAGCGGCGGACGGGUGAGUAACACGUGGGUAACCUGCCUGUAAGACUGGGAUAACUCCGGGAAACCGGAGCUAAUACCGGAUAGUUCCUUGAACCGCAUGGUUCAAGGAUGAAAGACGGUUUCGGCUGUCACUUACAGAUGGACCCGCGGCGCAUUAGCUAGUUGGUGGGGUAAUGGCUCACCAAGGCGACGAUGCGUAGCCGACCUGAGAGGGUGAUCGGCCACACUGGGACUGAGACACGGCCCAGACUCCUACGGGAGGCAGCAGUAGGGAAUCUUCCGCAAUGGACGAAAGUCUGACGGAGCAACGCCGCGUGAGUGAUGAAGGUUUUCGGAUCGUAAAGCUCUGUUGUUAGGGAAGAACAAGUGCGAGAGUAACUGCUCGCACCUUGACGGUACCUAACCAGAAAGCCACGGCUAACUACGUGCCAGCAGCCGCGGUAAUACGUAGGUGGCAAGCGUAACUAGAAUUAUUGGGCGUAAAGGGCUCGCAGGCGGUUUCUUAAGUCUGAUGUGAAAGCCCCCGGCUCAACCGGGGAGGGUCAUUGGAAACUGGGAAACUUGAGUGCAGAAGAGGAGAGUGGAAUUCCACGUGUAGCGGUGAAAUGCGUAGAGAUGUGGAGGAACACCAGUGGCGAAGGCGACUCUCUGGUCUGUAACUGACGCUGAGAGCGAAACGCCGUAACCCG
rnacentral:rRNA from 1 species